rnacentral:rRNA from 1 species
GACGAACGCUGGCGGCGUGCUUAACACAUGCAAGUCGAACGGUGAAGCUCCAGCUUGCUGGAGUGGAUCAGUGGCGAACGGGUGAGUAACACGUGAGCAACCUGCCCCAGACUCUGGAAUAAGCGCUGGAAACGGCAUCUGUACUGUGUGGAAAGUUUUUCGGUGGGGGAUGGACUCGCGGCCUAUCAGCUUGUUGGUGAGGUAGUGGCUCACCAAGGCGACGACGGGUAGCCGGCCUGAGAGGGCGACCGGCCACACUGGGACUGAGACACGGCCCAGACUCCUACGGGAGGCAGCAGUGGGGAAUAUUGCACAAUGGGCGAAAGCCUGAUGCAGCGACGCCGCGUGAGGGAUGAAGGCCUUCGGGUUGUAAACCUCUUUCAGUACCGAAGAAGCGCAAGUGACGGUAAGUACGGAAGAAGCACCGGCUAACUACGUGCCAGCAGCCGCAGUAAUAC